AUUAAUAUUAUUAGUUAACUUUGUACUUUUGAGAUACUAAUUUAAAUCUUUCUUUCAAAUUAAUCCAAUAUUUGAAAUGCUUAACCUUGCUCUAUUUGAUAUCUUUCUGAAAUCAAUUAAAUUUUACUAUUUUUUUAGUCGGAUUCAAAUUUUAGGUUUAGUUAUAAAUGAUCAUGCCUAAUGUUUAAAUCAUGACUGUUAUAAGAUAUUUAUAUCUUGAGAAUAAUAAUAAUAAUAAUAAUAAAUGGGUUUUAUAUGGCAACAUGGAUCACGUGGAUGAUGUAAUUUAUUACAUCGAAUCAAAUAUAUGAUCUAACAUAUACUAAAAGGAGAAUAUUCUGAGUGUUUAGGGUGUCCACGUGUCAAAAUAAAUCAACCUAUCACGAGUUUACACUUCAUCAGAGUCUCCACGUCAGCCAGCUGCCUUCUUUCUUUCUCUCACGCGCCUCCUCUAACAACCCAAACGUCGCUGUUACGAAACUUUGUUCUUCUCCACCUUUAACUAUCUCCCUCCUCCAUAACUGAUAACUCCUCAAAUCCUUUUUUUUAAUUCCUCUGUUAUGACCGCAACACUCGAUGUCAACUUCUAGCUACGGCAAAUCUAACCAUGUUCCUUCCUCUUUCUGUUAUUAUCCUUCAUCUUCCUUGCCUCAUCGCCUCCUUCUCAUCAAGUAAGGAGCUUCAGAUAUUUGACGCUCUACCUCUAUGGAACGGAUCAGAUUAGGAGAAGAAAGUUCUCUAAGAGCUAGGUUCUGCCUCAGAAACUUAACAGAUAGAUCUCUUAUUCUGAAGGGAAGCACAAACCAUUCACGGGAUGAAGUUUCCCAAUUUGCAGAUCAAGUUUUUCUCUACUCCGAGUGCACCGAACACUGUUAUCAAAUCAAAAAGCUCUGGUGGGCAAUAAAUGCGUCAAGAAAAUCUUAUGGUUUCUUGGAAGGAUGAUUUUGUUUGUUGGGCAUCUGUAGUCUUCUCAGGGAAUCUUCCGGUUCCGGUCUUCUCUCCACCUCAAAUACAAAAGCGGUCAGCACAUGUUUGCAGCGUUAGGACGGUAAGAAUUUCUCUAAUAUUCAUGAUUUCUUUUUACUUUUAUGUUUUCACUUACACAUGUAGAUUUUGGAGAUCUCUCUUUUGUUUAACGUCAGAUUUUGAAAUUAGUUUUGCAAGACAGGAAAUCGGUGAAGAAGAUAGUAAAUGAAAGUUGUAACAAAUGAGGUGAGAGAAGUGAUAUCUCACUUUUUGUUUCCUUUUUUACUUGGAAAGAUUAUAUGAGAUUGGUUAAUACGGAGGAGAUGUGGCAAACACAAGAUAUUCUCUGCAUGAGCAGAUUUGAGACAGAUGUGGGAAAAAUUAAAAUGACUAGAAUUUGACCUGGAUUGGUUAAUACUUAAAUAAGUAAUACUCCCCAUAAUGACCCGCUGAUGGUAGUAGACCUGUGCAAGUAGUGGCUGUUCCAACAUCAAAGGGUCAAGCACUUGCUGAUGAAUAUGGAAGCAAGUUCUUUGAAACAAGUGCCAAAACAAAUCUAAAUGUGGAAGAGGUUUUCUUCUCGAUAGCAAAGGACAUUAAGCAGAGACUCACAGAUACUGACUCGAGACCAGAGGAUGAAAAGAAGUGUAUAGCCGGCAGUUUUUGUGACAUGCUCUUCAUAGCACCGUCAGACAGGAGCUAAGGUUCAUAAUUUAAAAGAAACAAAACUUUCUCAUAUUUUUUUACUUCAUAGUGGAUGAGUAUUAAGUUAGCUGUGAUGGUAUGUAGGGUUACUUGACUCCAUGUUCAGGGGAGUCUCACCUGCCUAUAUUCAAGCCCCCAAUGGAGGGUCUGGAGGACAUCUUGACCAACCAAGUCAUGUGAGAUCACUGACCUAGAUCACAGGUUUCUUCUAAUGGAAAGAAUGUACUCAAACUCAUCGAAUGAUACUUUGAAGAUAUAAGAAAAACAACAUCUAAUAAUUUACUUGAAGAUCAUAAUACUCCGGAGAAGAUACUAUUUCUUAUGUUUAUAUUUUAUUUUUUCUGACAUUAUAUGUUACACUACAAUUCUUUAGAUCAAUCUAUGGAACCAUUACUUUGUAA